rnacentral:rRNA from 1 species
UACGGGGGGGGCAAGCGUUGUUCGGAAUUACUGGGCGUAAAGGGUUCGUAGGUGGCUUGCUAAGUCAGACGUGAAAUCCCUCAGCUUAACUGGGGAACUGCGUCCGAUACUGGAUGGCUUGGAUUUGGGAGAGGGAUGCGGAAUUCCAGGUGUAGCGGUGAAAUGCGUAGAUAUCUGGAGGAACACCGGUGGCGAAGGCGGCAUCCUGGACCAAUAUUGACGCUGAGGAGCGAAAGCCAGGGGAGCAAACGGG